rnacentral:rRNA from 1 species
GACGAACGCUGGCGGCGUGCUUAACACAUGCAAGUCGAACGGAAAGGCCCUGCUUGCAGGGUGCUCGAGUGGCGAACGGGUGAGUAACACGUGGGUGAUCUGCCCCUUAUUUUGGGAUAAGCCUGGGAAACUGGGUCUAAUACUGGAUAGGACCAUGCUGUAGGUGGUGUGGUGGAAAGAUUAGUUUCGGUAAGGGAUGAGCUCGCGGCCUAUCAGCUUGUUGGUGGGGUAAUGGCCUACCAAGGCGUCGACGGGUAGCCGGCCUGAGAGGGUGGACGGCCACAUUGGGACUGAGAUACGGCCCAGAAUCCUACGGGAGGCAGCAGAGGGGAAUAUUGCACAAUGGGCGCAAGCCUGAUGCAGCGACGCCGCGUGGGGGAUGACGGCCUUCGGGUUGUAAACUCCUUUCAGCCAUGACGAAGCCCUUGUGGUGACGGUAGUGGUAGAAGAAGCACCGGCUAACUACGUG